rnacentral:rRNA from 1 species
GAUGAACGCUGGCGGCGUGCCUAAUACAUGCAAGUCGAGCGAACAGACGAGGAGCUUGCUCCUCUGACGUUAGCGGCGGACGGGUGAGUAACACGUGGAUAACCUACCUAUAAGUCUGGGAUAACUUCGGGAAACCGGUGCUAAUACCGGAUAAUAUAUUGAACCGCAUGGUUCAAUAGUGUAAGACGGUUUUGCUGUCACUUAUAGAUGGAUCCGCGGCGCAUUAGCUAGUUGGUAAGGUAACGGCUUACCAAGGCAACGAUGCGUAGCCGACCUGAGAGGGUGGUCGGCCACACUGGAACUGAGACACGGUCCAGACUCCUACGGGAGGCAGCAGUAGGGAAUCUUCCGCAAUGGGCGGAAGCAUGACGGAGCAACGCCGCGUGGGUGAUGAAGGUCUUCGGAUCGUAAAGCUCUGUUAUUGGGGAAGAACAAAUGUGGAAGUAUCUAUGCACGUCUUGACGGUACCUAAUCAGAAAGCCACGGCUAACUACGUG